rnacentral:rRNA from 1 species
UACGCAGGCGGCUUUGCAAGACAGGUGUGAAAUCCCCGGGCCUAACCUGGGAACUGCAUUUGUGACUGCAUGGCUAGAGUUUGUCAGAGGGGGGUGGGAAUUCCACGUGUAGCAGUGAAAUGCGUAGAGAUGUGGAAGAACACCGAUGGCGAAGGCAGCCCCCUGGGAUGUGACUGACGCUCAUGUACGAAAGCGUGGGGAGCAAACA